UACGUAGGGUGCUAGCGUUGCUCGGAAUCACUGGGGCGUAAAGGGUGCGUAGGCGGGUCUUUUAAGUCAGGGGUGAAAUCCUGGAGCUCAACUCCAGAACUGCCUUUGAUACUGAGGAUCUUGGAGUUCGGGAGAGGUGAGUGGAACUGCGAGUGUAGAGGUGAAAUUCGUAGAUAUUCGCAAGAACACCAGUGGCGAAGGCGGCUCACUGGCCCGAUACUGACGCUGAGGCACGAAAGCGUGGGGAGCAAACAGG
rnacentral:rRNA from 1 species